rnacentral:pre_miRNA from 1 species
UGAAGAAUAUCAGUGCGAUUCUCCUUUGGCAGGAAUUUGGUAUUCUGCUGUUAACCAGUCUGCUAAACUGAUUGCUGCCAAAGGAGAAUUGCCCUGUUAUUCAACU